rnacentral:lncRNA from 1 species
UUUUCAUGUCGGCCCUCUGUUGGACAGUCAGGGCACUGCAGGGGUCAGAGGCACCAAAGGUUUCACUCACGGUGAGCAUUACUGGGAGAUCGAGUUCCUAGAGCCUCCAUAUGGAAGCUCUGUGAUGGUGGGGGUUGGUACCCAAAAUGCACUUCUGCACACAGGGGAUCAAAAGUUUGUUAACCUCAUAGGCAUUGACAGUGAGAGUUGGGGUCUAUCAUACAAAGGCUUCGUCUGGCAUAAUGGAA